rnacentral:misc_RNA from 1 species
UCGUCGGUAGUUUACUACCGUUUGAGGGACGUGGAAAUUCUCUAGGCUUGCCUGGGGAGAAGUACACGUCUUUUCUUAACCCUUGAUUUUUUGCGCACUCAUGUUUCCUCGGCGGGCUUGCCCGCCGGCUGGACAAUUACAUAACCUUUUUAAUUUUCAAUCAGCGUCUGAAUAAUUAUAAUAAUUA